CAGUCGCCGCGGUAAUACAGAGGAUGCAAGCGUUAUCCGGAAUGAUUGGGCGUAAAGCGUCUGUAGGUGGCUUUUCAAGUCAGUCGUCAAAUCCCUGGGCUCAACCCUGGACAAGCAGUGGAAACUACCAAGCUGGAGUAUAGUAGGGGCAGAGUGAAUUUCCGGUGGAGCGAUGAAAUGCGUUGAGAUCAGAAAGAACACCAACGGCGAAAGCACUCUGCUGGGCCGACACUGGCACUGAGAGACGAAAGCUAGGGGAGCAAAUGGGAUUAGAUACCCGGGUAGUCCCUGUCUCUUAUAA
rnacentral:rRNA from 1 species